UUACGGCCAUAUCACGUUGAAAUAUCGGUUCCCGUACGAUCACCGAAGUUAAGCAACGUCGAGCCUGGUCAAUACCUAGAUUGGUGAUCGAUUUGGAAUACCAGAUGCAGUAU